UCAGUUCGGAUUGUAGGCUGAAACUCGCCUACAUGAAGCUGGAGUUACUAGUAAUCGCAGAUCAGAAUGCUGCGGUGAAUGCGUUCCCGGGUCUUGUACACACCGCCCGUCACACCACGGAAGUUGGGGGCGCCCGAAGCCACUUAGCUAACCCUUUUGGGAAGCGAGUGUCGAAGGUGAAAUCAAUAACUGGGGUGAAGUCGUAACAAGGUAAC
rnacentral:rRNA from 1 species